GUGUUACAAAGAUCUAAGAAACAUGUACAUCUAAGUUAGUAUUACAGAGAAACUAGGAUAAAUUGAUUAUGAAAAGUAGGGGGGCCGGGGGAGUCGACAGUAGAGUCUCUCACGUCCAGAUCAAGUUUUUGUCGUGGCGUUUAUGUUCUCUUUUAUGUAAUACAAUCUCAUUUCUCCAGCUUUAACCAGAAGUCUUGUUUCAAUAUUUAUUAUCAAUGUCGUAAAACUCAAUAUUCUUGUACUUUUGGGAUAUGAUCUCCGCUUGUACUUUCCUUGCA
rnacentral:misc_RNA from 1 species